GUGCUUGCUUCAGCAAGCACAUGUGCUAAAAUUGGAACAAUCUAGAGAAGAUUAGCAUGGCCCCUGCAGAAGGAUGACACUCAAUUCCAUGAAGCAUUCCAUAUUUUU